CAUAGGAUAUUCACUUUUACCUUCACCAAAUGCAAGCAAGCUUGACAAAUUCGAUUCCUUCCAAUAUCUCCGAUUUCCCCCCCGUUAAAAAUCAUCGAGGCGCUCAAGAAUCCAAGAUCUCAUCGCAGUCCCUUACCAGAGACCAAAUUCAACAGGGUACAUUGAUAUGGCAGGGCGAAACCGUGGCCCCCGUGAAGCCUUCAAUGAUAGGCAUGGUUAUCCUGAAGGACCUUUCAUGCGGGGUCCUCCGAUUCCUAGGCAUCCUCCUCCUCCUCCUCAUCCUCAUCCUGCUUUGCUGGAGGAAGAGCUUGAAAUGCAGCAUGCUGAGAUUCGGAGGCUCUUAGGCGACAAUAGGAGGCUAGUUGAAGACCGUAUGGCUCUGCAUCGAGAGGUUGGCGCUACCAAGGAGGAGCUUCAUCGCAUGAACCUUAUUAUUUCCGACAUUCGUGCAGAACAAGAAAUGCGAUGUAGGGACCUUAGGGAGAAGGGCAUGAAGCUGGAGGCUGAUCUCCGAGCAACUGAGCCUUUGAAAAAUGAGACCGCACAACUUCGCACAGAAGUCCAGAAGCUGAAUAACCUUAGGCAGGACCUUGCAGCACAAGUUCAGAGCCUCACAAAGGACAUUUCAAGAUUGAAAGCUGAUAAUCAACAGAUUCCUCUUUUAAGAGCAGAGAUGGAUGGCAUGCACCAGGAGCUUAUGCAUGCUAGAGCUGCGCUUGAUUAUGAGAAGAAAGCAAACAUUGAAUUGAUGGAACAGAGACAGACAAUGGAGAAGAACUUGGUUUCCAUGGCCCGUGAAGUUGAGAAGCUACGUGCAGAAUUUGCAAAUGCUGACAGGCCGUGGGGUGCUGGUGGAGCAUAUGGGAUGAAAUUCAGCAGCUCAGAAAGCGUCUUUCCUGCUUCUUAUGGAGAUGGAUAUGGUGUUCAUCUGGGUGCUGCUGACAAAGGUCCUCGGUAUGGUCCGGGUCCAGCUUCAUUGGGAGGAGCUGAGAAGCCUCGCACGACUCGUCGUUAAGAUCUGGGUGAUGACUGUUUGAAUGGAGCAAUGGCUUUCCUGUUCCUUUUGAUGUCCGUUAUUUCAAUAUAAAUGGGCGAGAGAAGUAUAGAAGUGACUUCCGCAGAAGGUAGAGGAAGAGAAAGGAUGAUUUAGAUAAACAUCUACAAUGCUGGCUAAAUGGUUUUUGAGUGUGUGGUUAGCGUUGUGGUUGGAGGGUCAAAAGCACUUUUCAUGUCUACUUGCCCCUUGUUGCGGCAAGGCGCUGGAAGCACUUUUUGCAAGAAGCGGGUUUCUUCUAACCACACUACCGUUGCAGCAGCAAUUCACUGUUCCUGGAAGUUUUCUUUCAUGGAGGAUUUCAAUGCCACUGAGUGAAAACUCCUCGGCAAGAACAUGUCAAAUAUUUGUGGAAGGUAUUUGAUUUCUGAUGCCAAUGUGAUGCUGGAGUUGGUUGUAGACAUGGGUAUUUCUUACGGUUCUGAAGUUGUGUAAUGCAAUUUUGCAAGAGCUGGCUGGAUAAUGGAUAACUUUUGUGACCGGUCGGUCAUGCCAGAAUCGCAAGAACUAAAGGUCACAAAGACAUCUUUGGCAGGGCUGCAUCUGUUGGGCUUAGUUUUUAUUUUAAAUAUUCGGCUGGGCGGAGGUAUUGGGAAGGUUUAGUUGAUGGGCUUGUUUGGAAGGAAAGAGAUAGGCUUCAGUGGUUACCCCGCGAGGGAAAAAUAAUUCAUUACUUUUUUCAUGAUCUAUUUGAAUUGAUUUGAAUUGGAGCACUCCUUAAAAUGAAUACGUCAUACAGAGUUAGGAAUAAAUAAAAGAAUACAUGUACCUUCAUGCUCCAUUUCAAUUUAUUUGAUUUUUGAUUAAUCCAGGUCGAAACAUGGCGCAAUGUAUCGAGUCCAAUAACAAGCAAUUUUUUUAAAUUUGUUAGAUUUUUUGUUGUAAGUGAUACUCAAGUUGCUCAAAAGAUUAAUUGGAGAAAAUUGUUCAUAUUUUUGGAAAGGAAUACAAAAUGUUUUAGUAGAA